UGGGCUUGGAGAAUCACUUGGGUUUCAC
rnacentral:piRNA from 1 species